UGAAUUUGGCAAAGUUCAAUGUCCCUAGGACUCUUUACCUCAACACCUUCAUCAAAGGAUGCAUUCCAGCAAUUAUCCAGGGAGCGGACUGCCAAUAUCACUUCAAGUCAUAGCUAUUCUGGCUGUUUCUAUUUCAAACUCAUUUCAGACACAGCACAGGUAAAGACAAGGUCGAUAAGCAAGUCUCUAUUACAGACAGACCUCAAGAGAGACAUUUCAGGGGACGACAGUCGCCUGCAGAGAUGAGGUGCCAUGGUGACGGAGGAGCACACGUCUAGGUGAACAAAUCCGGCAGUGUCAUAAGUAGCACUGCCAAAACAACUUUGCUAAAUUGACCCAUGUGUAUUCUUUGCAAUAUCUGUCAAACAGCCUGCUUCCUUUGAAUACUUCAGAAUGUAGAUAAUUAUCCUUUUCGUGAAAGCAAGAACCUAUUAGAUUGAUGAUUCGGUGGCAAAAUCUAGCAUGUUGCUGCAAUACCUACCCCCUAUUGUAGCAUCCUAAUGCACAUGGCAUGGGAAACCACUAAAUCUGGUGGAGGGCAUCAGUUGAAGUGAAGUUGUGGGCAUCACGUGAAGGUCUGAGAGUUUAGGUGUAUUGGGAGUUGCUCAAGAGACCAACGAAAAUGGUAGCAGUACUAGGCCUGUCUGUCCUGUCCAAAUGACUGAUGGACACAGCUGUCAAACUCACUCACUCUCUGCUGUUCCAAGCUGUUUCCAGCCAGGCGUUUGGCUGCCACACUGCAACAGAACACCAGGGGGCGCUGUAAUUGAUGACGGCUUGGUUCUAAUUCAGCAGAUCCAAAAUAUGUUCUCCCAAACUGCCUGUAGACAUGUUUUUUUUCUCGUCUGUCUUAUCUUUUUUCAUUCCCAAUGGAUCCGAAUGGAGAUAUAUGGUUCUUGCUCAAAGACAAAAGGCGAGACUACAAAACAAAAUUUAGAUUUUUUUUAUGCACCAUUUUAAAGGAGACAGAGAUGUCUGAUGGUGACCUCUUGUUUCUUUACACAACAAUAAAGCAUCUGUUUACCAAGCAAACAGUUGUGUCUAAAAAGUAGCACACUUUGUUUGAACAGCCUUGUGAGUUUUUACGGGCCAAUGACAUCUAAUGUACAAGCCACCUAGGGACUAUAAAAGAGUGUGAAAUGUUCAAUGGAACUGCUGCUUAGGGCUGCUUGCAAAUAAAAUGCCAGUAUUGCGAGAGGCAGAGAAGGACUAUUGAACUCGGAAGGAAGAGGCAACACACUUGUAAAGCUUCAUUUUGGAGAUAAUUUCUACUUCUGGACCAACUCCAGGGACAGCAGUUCCAAAAAUGUGACAACAAAUACAGUUACAGCAUGUUCCUGGAUGGCUAUUUUCAACCGUUGAAUUGAUGUGAGGAUGUAUCAACAUGCUCUCAUGGGUCUGCAUCGAGUCAAAUUAUCCUGAGCUACAGUGAUGCUUCGUUCUGUUUCAGUGGCAAUGGCUCCAGGGUGUCAUUGGGUUUCAGGGGUAAACCCUGGAGGACAGACACGGCUGUCAGACUCUCCUGGCACAGAGAUGUCAAGCGAUGCCAAGGUGAGCCAGUUACACAGCCCUCUGCCUGAAAUGGAGCCACUUUGUCAGCCAGGAGGUCAUGAAGUCUGUCUAUGAGUAAUGCCGGAAAAGAGCAGAGCAGGGCAGAUUUAGCUUUUAACAAAACCACAGUGAUGAGGUCUCUGGCUGUAUCAGCUUAAGCCCUGACUCAAAUGAGGACUAACGUCUGGAAAUAAACUUUUCAUUUGACAUUAACUCAAUAAAGCACUGGAUUGGUCAAUUAACUACUUAAUUCCACAGGUUAAGGACGAUAAAGGGAAAUCAAAAGAGGUUGAGUGCAUUCAUCUGUUACAAAGAAACACAAGGUGUAAAUAUCUGCUUUCGAAUUCCUUCGGUGUGAAGACUCGUUUCCAGUGGUUAUUUUAAACCACCCAAAUAAGCUGAAUGACUGUUGUUUCAGACUUCUUCUUAAAACGAAAGUGUUCUACCUGUGAUGUGAAUGCCACUGGGUAGCAUUUUAUCUUUAGCAAUACAUGAUGUACUUUUUACUGUUUAUGUACUAUUUGCAAUUUCGUCUUUUUUGUAUCGUAAGCGUAGUUGGAAUCAAAGUCGAGCCUGCCGCAGGUGACAACCAUUUGACGGAGAUGAAGUGCUUCCGAAUUUUAACACCCUUCUCACCUUCCUUACUAACAUAAAAUGAUGUCUUGCCAUAUUUAAAGCUUGCGCUAUAUGUAUAAACCAAUGCUUUAUUUAAUUAUUUUUAAAAGACAUAUUAUAACCAAUGCUUGAAUGGCAUGUUAGUUGCCAGACCAGAGACGUGUAAUAUGUAUAUUGGAGAAUCACAUUGUUCCCAUUUGUUUGGUGGCUCCAUUCGUUUGGUAGUACGUUUGACCGAUCUAAUCUUAUGCACUAUUCUAAGCUGUAUCUUUUGUGUAUGUAUAAUUAGAAUGAAUUCUACUAAGGGCUUUUAAAGAUGUACGUGCUCUUAACAGGAGUUGCCCCGUGUCGAACAUGGAAAGGGUUUUCCCCAAUGCAAUGACAGGGAGUACAGUUGCUUGUGUCAGAGUGAACAAAGUUUACUAGGGUAAACUAUAGCAGAAUACACGUAAGGGUUUGCGAAAGCGAUGCUCCGUCCUGCAAUCAAAAGUCAGGGAAAUGUUUUGCUUUUGCUACAACACACUCUUGGUUUGUGUAUUACUGUCCAUCACAAAGCAAAAAAGAUGUUCCCUCCUUGAGAAAACAGGUUUUCUUGUUUGAACCCUGAAAAGAUAUGCAAAAAUGUGUUAAGGACAUAGGAGAGCUCAUUACAAAUGCAAAAAAAAAAGACAACUGCUCUAAGUUUGAACUUACCAGCAUUAAAGGAAAUCCAAAGCCAGCUACAGCAAUGCAGGUUGAUCCUAAUUAAAAGUCACUGGUUACAUCAUUGAUAAAGAGAACGACAGGAAGACUAAUUAGGCUUGUCUGUUGACUUAAACAAGGCCAGAUUUUUACAGCAACACUAGCAUUGAGAAAUAUCUCCUGUCACAUUUGUGUUUACUGAUGUUUACUGAUUAUAUAUGCCUGUUUAUUCAUACAUCAGGGUUAAAAGAGCAAAAAGUUAAAUAUAUAAAUAUUGUGUAAAAAUGUAUGUAUAUGAUGUGAAAAUAAAGCAGCAUUAGUUCACAGCCUUUCACAAAUACACACACACUAAAACUGAGGAUUUAACAUUGUAAACAGUGUUUUGUGUAAGUUUCCCAAAGGCUUUUCUGAGUGCAGCCAGCUCACAUUACCCUGUGUCCUAACUACGUGUGAUGCGACACAUUUCCAAGUAAUUUAUUUGUCCAAAACGCCAUGUAAACACAGCAGUGACAUCCUGGUUUCUGGAAAUAUUAUUUCCAAAUGGUAUUUUAAAAAAAUAAAAA